GACAGAGAGAAAGAAGGGAGCGAGGAUAGAGAGAGAGAGAGAUAUACAUAUUUUAUAUAUAAAAGAGGAAGAAAAAGAGAGAGAGAGAGAGAAAAAAAAAGAAAAGGGAAAUUAAAAUAGUAGCAGCGAGGGAUCGAGCUAAACACAAAACAAAGAGGAGCUGAAAUAAUAGCAAAUCAAGAAGAAGGGAAAGCUCGAAAGGAAAAUGCACUCUUAAUAAACACAGAAAUUAAGAAAAUAGAAAGUAGAGGGAGGAAGCCAUAAAGAAUCGAGGCAGCGAGCAAUCCGACCCAAACCCAAACGCAGACCCCGACCCCCCCAACCAACAACUGAGUGGCACUCGAUUUCUCUGCAAUUGGUCAAGCAAGUUUGUCUAAGUGAUUUUAUUCACGGUUCGUGCUGUUCCGCUUGAGACGAGGCAGGCGCUGUUGUUUCUUUCUUUUGUUUUUUCAAGUUCGGUGAUUCGAACUUUAGGGUUUUGAUUUGUUCUUUGCUUUAUUCAAUUCGGCUUUGUUUAGUAGGGCUUCUGUUAACCACUCUACUGGAGUUUGAUCCCUAGGGUUUUGGUUCUCCGAAGAUGAGAUUUGGGUUUGCAUUGUAUGGUUUCUCCGUGGGUCAAUUUAGGGAUGUUUGGAAACUGAAAUAACUCUAUCCACCUUGGGAAUUGUGAGUUCUUUUUUCCUUUCUUUUUCUGGGAUUUCGUCCUUGCUGUUUUACUCUCAAUAUGAAGAGAUUGAGAGUUUGAUUUGCAUUGUAUGGUAUGCAAAUUGGUGAUUUUGGACUUGUUUUGUGGUGGAGAAAGCUGUAAAUUGGGGUGGAACCGGGUUUCAGAGGUUUUGUAGUUUUGUGAAUGGUGUAGGAAUCUGCUUGUUGAGCAAUGCAACCGCAGCAGGGCUCUAGAAUUGAUUUAGGCGAAUUGAAAGCUCAGAUAGUGAAGAAGAUUGGGGCUGAGAGGUCAAAAAGGUAUUUUAAUAAUUUGAGUAGGUUUUUAAGUCAGAAGCUCAGUAAAAGUGAGUUCGAUAAGUCAUGCUACCGCAUUCUUGGGAGGGAGAACCUGCCACUUCAUAAUCAGUUGAUACGAUCAAUCUUGAAAAAUGCAUGCCAGGCUAAGACUCCGCCACCAGUUCAUGAAGCGGGUCCCGCGAAAUCUUUGAUACAAACUGUGAAAAGUUCUCCUGGUAGAGAAGAUGGACAUGAACAAACUGGAUCCCUCAUUCCCAAUCAGAAUCCAAAUAUGGUCAUUUGGUCAAAUGGGGUUUUGCCAGUAUCAUCCCCACGAAAGGUUAGGUCUGGAAUACGGGAUAGAAAACUCAGGGAUAGGCCCAGCCCGUUGGGGCCAAAUGGUAAAGUUGAGAGUAUCUCAAAUCAAUCGAUGGGUACAGAAGACAAUGGCAAUAAAUUGGGUAUAGAAAAUGGGGAUUUGACUCCAUAUGAUUAUCAGAGACCAGUGCAACAUCUUCAAGCAGUUGCCGAGCAACCUGAAAUUGAAAGAGAAGGUUUAGUGCGAUCCACAGAAAAACUGAGGGUGCCUACUAAGGAUCAGACUGAAGGAGCCAUUGUUGAAGAUGGGGAGGAGGUGGAGCAAGCUAACCACAUUAAUCUCUUUAGAAGUCCUCUGCUCGCACCACUUGGGAUUCCAUUUUGCUCAGCUAGUGUUGGUGGGACCCGCAAAGCUAUACCAUUGGCUAGCAGUGGCGACUUCAUUAGCUACUAUGACAGUGGCGGUUUGUAUGACACGGAGACAUUGAAGAAACGUAUGGAGCAGAUUGCGGCAGCGCAGGGCCUUGGAGGGGUUUCUGUGGAAUCUGCUAGUAUGUUGAAUAACAUGUUGGAUGUAUACUUGAAGAAACUGAUCAGGUCAUGUGUUCAUUUGGCGGGAUCAAGGUCUACACAUCAGUUGAGAAAGCAUUCUGCCCACAAGCAGCAGCCUCAAGGCAAGCUUGUUAAUGGGAUGUGGCCAAGUAAUCACUUGCAUAUGCAGAGUAGCUCUGGGCCCACAGAAGUUAUGCAGGAACAGGGGCAGCGGUGCUCAAUAUCUUUGCUUGAUUUCAAAGUGGCAAUGGAGCUAAAUCCCCAGCAGCUGGGUGAAGAUUGGCCAUUGCUGCUGGAAAAAAUUUGUAUGCAUUCAAUGGAAGAAUGAAAUAUCCUACAAAGAUUUGUUUAUCCUGAAGCUGUGAUUGCAUCUGUCCGUUCUGGUUCAAUGUGCUUGACAAAUGUUGAUCACUGAAGCUCCCACGUCUUCUUCAUUACCGACACGAACCAGAUGGCAUCCACUCGGAUAAAUCUCUGGCCGUUGCAAGAUGAAAUUAUAAGUUUGAGUGUCGGGAUGUCUGUACUCCUGCUGCAGAGCCGGGAUGGAUCAGAAAAUUAUUUUUGAGCAACUGAGCUUAGGUGCUUAACAAGGAAGUGCUUACAACUGGUUGCUCUGUUGUACGAUUAGCAUUGUUGUUGGCUGUCUUCUGCCAUCUCAACGGAUCUCAAGCUUUUCUUGUAAUUUACAGCCCGUGAGGAGGAAAUCUAUUAAAGUUUUGCAGGGAUACUGUUUUGUAGCUUGGUGAAAGGAAAAGGGCAGUUGUAGAUGAAGAGGAUUGCUUGGUGACUAUAAGAAGUAAACGUUUCUCAACAUUGGAUGAGAAAUAUUCAGUACCAAUAACCCUUCUCUCUUCAGUUGGAGUAGGCACUCUUACUUGCUACUGCUCACGAGCAUUUCUUGGACUUCACUCUGCUCAAGAUAUGAGAGCAAUAAUUUUGCAAUUGUACUUGAUAACAUGCAAACGCUAUCCUUUGUUGAGUUGUCCUUUAUUGUUGAGCAGGUUAUCAAUAAAAUGUUUUUGGAAUUCCAUUUUAUGUUCAGAUAAUUAGAUUUGCAACUUUCACCACUUCACUUUUGGAAUUUUUGUUGCAUUUUUGUUACUCAGUAUAUCAUAACCUGAAAACUGUGUUCUCAGUUCCAUAAUCAUUCUUUCAAUAUUUGCAUCGUGACACUCUGUAACUAUUAGUUGUGCAAAAGUUGGUAAUGUCAGGUAAGAACUCUUUUUAAUUGUUUAUGGAAAUGUUGUUCCUUUGUUAUGCGUAUACUAUGAAUCUCUUCCCUAUGAGUUACCUAAUUGUGUGUCAGAGGUUGGGGCAAAUCUCAAUUUGGCAGCAGUUAUUAAACAUUAUUUAGCUGUAGGGGUUGGCCAAUUUACAUGGUGAAGACAUCUACAUCACUUGUAAAGGAAAAGUGAUGAACACUAUUGCAACAUCAAUGAAUAUGUUAGCCAUUUUUCUUUCCCUAAAUUUGAAAAAUUUUACUGGAGUGGCUUUUCUGUUGAAGUUGCAGAGGAGCUUAACCAGGACCUCACAAAGUUCGGUUAUCUUUGUCUCUAUUUUACUCGUAUGUUGCAUGAUGUAGAUGGGUCACAAUGCUUUGUUUUUUUGGCCAUCAGCGUUAACCUCGUUAGCCAUUUCAGCUAUCUGGACCAUGCAGAGCUGGCAUUGAGGUCCAGUUGAUGAACCAGUGAAUGAUGAUUUCAUGUUGUGAAAGCACCCUUUCUGAUUCAGAAGGACAUUAUCAAUGUCAAUGCUCCCAAACUUUGAUCUGCUGUCACGAGGAGCCAAAUUAGACUGUCGAGAGUGUCUGAGGGUUUCUGCAUCAAAGCAACUGUUUAAACUUCGAAGAUGGAUUGUUGCAGGCAAUGCUUUGGAAGAUCAAUGUAAUUACAGUUGUGUAUAUGUAAACCUAUAGCAAAAGUUUUACAAUCCACACCCGACCACAAGAUCCAUGAUUUAAAUAUCUAGUCUCAUUUUAGUACACAACCUAUGAGGAAUUUACAACUUCCUUCUAGAACCGUGACAAGGAACAUGAUGAUCCAAGAAAUCUCCCGCACCUAUAGUUACAGAAAAGGGUACUUUUUAAUCAAAUGCCCAUGUCCAUUUCCUCCUUUGUAUGCUGGGAUUUGAGUUUGCCAUUUUUCUAUUACAAUAUUGGUCCGCAAUUCUGAUGAAGGUAUUGUAUUUCAUAGCUUUCUGCACACUAAUCUGUGGCACAGGCAGCAAAAUCUUAUAUAACCAAAUCAAAAAGCUGAACAAAUGCAGGUAAAGCACCAAACUGUAGAAUCAGUGAAAAUGAAAGGCAGGGCAUAGCUUAAAGAUUUAGAAAGGAACAAGUAGGUGCCACCAAAAGGAGUGUCAAAAGCCUUAGCAUAAUUACUCAUUGGGUGCUUCCUAAUCCCAAAACUAGAAGCGGAGGGUCGAUUUUAAUUGUAAAAGCGACCGCAUGGAAUUAUUGAAAAGAGGGAAUUUAUGCAGCAUUUGAUAUUGCUUAUCAAAGGGACAGAUGAGGGAAUAAAGAAAAAAGGAAGUUGCCCAUAGGCCAUAGCUGUUACCAUCACAUGAGAUCCUGUAUCGCUGUUUAUCUAACCU